rnacentral:misc_RNA from 1 species
UUGCCGUCAAAGCUCUCAGAAAAACAUGGGUUCUCUUUCCGUUAGCUUCCAUUUUCUCAUUAGCUACCUCCACAAGAAACCUCACAUAUUCGGGCGAUACCAGAAGCUUAUCAGUGUCACCCAGCGGCACCUCCAUUCUUAUCGAACAUCGAAUACCAACAAUCACUCUCUUAUUAUUAGCACUAGUAAUCCCAGAUUCC